UCUGCAGUUGAAGAAAUUAUCCCUAAACCCCUUAAAACACACAUACAUUCUCUGAAAGUGAGGACAAACUAUGGCAUUAGGAUUCUCUAUGUCAGCCUCAGUACCUACAUAAGGGGUGCUAGUAAUGGAUACAGAAGAUUCUGUGUUGGAUCUAAGUAAUUCUUUGUCAUAGUCAUGUAACCUUCUAUAUUGAUCUCUAAAGCUACCUUCCACAAAUUCAGCUGCCAAAUUCUUUGCCCUAUAAGCUUUGCUUCUGUUGACACAUGUCGCGUCAUUUUUCGGAGAUCAAGCUAUUUUAUUAGCAUAAACUCGCUAUUUUUAUUUCCCGACUGAACUUUUAAUUUUUUUUCAAAAGAAAGUGGAAAAAGGUUCAAAUACCACAUUUUUAAGAUUAAGGGUUCGGGGGUUGGGUAUAUUUAGGGAAGGUAUUAGCACCCUAAAUAUUCGUAGUAUUCUACGAGAACCUCUUGAUUUUAUUCAACUUUUGUGCUAUAACUUGUUUGUUUUUAAAGAGAUGAAAAUAGAAUUGAAUGAUGAGUUAAAAAGAAAAAGAAAAUCGAUUUUAGUUGAUUUGGAAGGACAUGGUCCUUUGCCUAUGUACCCGUGAGGGAUCAAAACCUCGUACUUCGGGGUAGAAAUUGACGUUUGAUUGGUUUUGUGUUUUUUAUUAGUCUUUGAAAAAGUUUUAAAAUAAAAGGCCAAGUGGCAAAUAAGAAUUGGUUUGUGUUUUUAAUAUUGAAGAAAAUUGACUCAAAGUUGAAUUAAAUUGAUUGAAAGUUUGAUUAAGAAAAAUAAAAAUAACGAUCACUUGAUUGAAAAUUAAGGUUUAUUAUGAAAAUAUUUUUGUGAUUUUUGUUAUUUGAAUGUUUUUGUUGUUUUUGAAUAAUGAAUGAAAAUUAGACUGACGGAGCAAUAAAAAUAAAAGCGCGUGAAUUUCUGUAGUGACGUUGAAUCACCACAUAAUCCCUAACCUAAUUUUUUUGCAUUUUUUUUAUAUAUAAAGCGGUAAAGAAAAUAAAAGACACACGUGCGCGCACACACACGCACACACUUUUUUUCAUUUAUAUUGUACAUUGGCCCUAAGUACAUUCUAAUUCUUGAGUAAAAAUAAAAUGACGAAAAUUAAAAUGCAUGAGUGAAUAGAAUGUAAGACGAUGACUUUAAACUAAUAAAGAAAAUGAAAUGCGAGGCAAAAUAGAAAUGCAAAAAGAAAUUAAAAUGCAUGAAUAAAAAAAAAGAUGAGAUGCAAGGGGGUAUAAACAGUAACAAGGGGGUGCAGUAAUGAAAAAAAGAAAUUGGGCUUUGUAAGAUGACAGAGGCGCGCGUUGGGCCUCAUGGUCGGUUUUAGGCCGGUUCAGAUCGGUUUAAAGGCCGAACCAGUUCGGUUUAGUAGUAUAUAUAGGUUGUGGACGGUUUUUUAUUCAUUUUAAAAAUUCAUUCUCUCUCUUCUCCUUUUACUUUCCAAAAAAAAUCUCUCUUCUCUCUCUACUUAUCUUCUAAAAAAACGAUGGAAUGGGUGGUUGGAAAGAAAUCCGGCGCGGUGGCCGGCGAGUUAUCACGGUGGCGCCACAGCGCCGGAGUUAAAUCUGAUAUAUUCUAGAGAAAUAUAAAGAUAAAAAAAAAAAGUAGAACAAUAUCACUGAUAUAUUUUGGACCAGAAAACUAUGGAUUAAUUUAAUUAUUAAUUAGGACCAGAUUAUUCUGAAGAGUGAUUUAACUUAAUUGUAAGUUAAUAUUAAGAUUUGGUUAGGACCAGAGCACUCUGGAUUAAUUGAAUUAAUAAGGACCAAAUUGUUAUGGAGAAUAAAUAAAUUAAACAACAAUAUAAUAUUAAAAGUUAGUUUAGGACCAGAGCACUCUGGAUUAAGAUGUGUGUAUUUAGUGUAAAAUAAAUGAAAAAAGAUAGCGAGAGGGGAAAUAGGAAAGAAGGAAGAGAAAAAUAGAAGAAAGAGGAAAGAGAAAAAGGGAAGAUGAUAUACCUUUUAUAGGAAGAAUAAGAGAAAGACAAAAGAUGAGGGUUGUUUUGUUUUUGGUAGUGAUGGUGUUUUUUGUGUUAAUUUAUGGUGGUUUUAUGUUGAUUUGAGUGGUGGUUGUGUUGUUGAUGAUGAAGAAAAGAAACAUGCUAAGACUAAAAAAAAUUGUAUUGGUGUGUUGCUGAUUUUUUUCUCUAUCUAAA
rnacentral:lncRNA from 1 species